rnacentral:rRNA from 1 species
GGCGGCGUGCCUAACACAUGCAAGUCGAGCGUGAAAGUCCUUCGGGAUGAGUAAAGCGGCGGACGGGUGAGUAACGCGUGAGAAUUUCCCUUUUAGUGGAGAAUACCUUUGAGAAAUCAAAGUUAAUACUGCAUAAGUCUCGAAAGAGAGAAAGAUGGCCUAAUUGCUGUCGCUAGAAGAUAAGCUUGCGUUCUAUUAGUUAGUUGGUGAGGUAAUGGCCCACCAAGACGAUGAUGGAUAGCCGGCCUGAGAGGGCGAACGGCCACAUUGGAACUUAGACACGGUCCAAACUCCUACGGGAGGCAGCAGUGAGGAAUAUUGCACAAUGGGCGAAAGCCUGAUGCAGCGACGCCGCGUGGAGGAUGACGGUCUUCGGAUUGUAAACUCCUGUUAAGUGUGAAAAAAGAACGAUCUUUAAUAGAGAUCGGUGAUGAUGGUAACACUAGGGAAAGCACCGGCUAACUUCGUGCCAGCAGCCGCGGUAAUACGANGGGUGCAAACGUUAUUCGGAAUCACUGGGCGU